GGAACAUGUCUCAGGUAUGUAACAUAAAAUCUGUUUUAUAAUUAUUUAUAUAUAUUAAUACUGGUGAUCUGAGUGAGUGUUGAUUGUUUCGUUUGGUUUAUUUCAGUGGAAUAUUUUCAGAUUUCUACUGAACUGACCGCGAAGUUAAAAUCGCGCCUUCAUACUCUAUCCAUUUUAAAACUAAUGCUGCGUUUCCACCGCUGGAACUUCCCCCAGAAACUAGGAACUUUGGGCUGGUAUUCGGAGAGCCACUAAGCUCAGACAAGUGGAUGAUGUCUUUGGAAGGAACAAUUGUGAUGGGGCCCCACAACAACCUUCUGAAUGGAGUGACCUUCGCUGCCUACUAUGUGUUUAACUUACAGUAUCCUAAUGAGGCCUCAAGCACUAAAGGCUCUAUGAUAUACUCUAUCCAACAGCAGAAGACACCAGGAGUGGGGAAGGUUUCAUCAUGUGUCUGCUUGCUCACUUCAAGGAGGGGGAUGGUAUCUUCCUUACGGCUGAUAGCCUUUUGCGGCAUAAAUCCCCAGACGGGCAGCAAGGCAGAGAAGAAACGAGGUCUGAACGCACCAGUUUGCACUCUUCUUAGGAAACUGCUGGAUUUUGAAUUGGUGGGCAGGGGACAUUAGAGGAUCACUCCAUAAACUCGCUCAACCAGUUUGGUACAGUUACAGAUUGUUUGUCAACAGUUUUAAGAGAAAAUAAAAAUAUAUUUUAAAAAAAUACUAAGUGUUUU
ensembl:lncRNA